UCCUAACUUGUCCCAGUUAAGAUGGCGGAGCUAUUGAGACGUCAGAUAGAACAAUAUGUCCCAUCUAUGCUUCAUAUCUAUGGCUCUAACCAUGUGAAGUGACUUCAAAUAACGUUAUUCGCUCCAGUCAAAUUGUAAUCGCUCCGCUCCUCGCUCCGCUAACUUUGAUUUCGUUGUACAGGAUGCAGUUUUAAUUAAGGAAUUUGGAUGACGCUAAUUCCAGACUGAGACAGAGGCGAAUAAUUGCUUGUCAUGAACAAUUACUCCAUGGGUCUUCGAAAACAACUCAGGAGCAAAAUAUCACUGGGGCUUCUGGAAUGGCCAAAUGAUGACACAUGACUUGACAUACACUAAAAUGAUUCAGCUGAUCAACCCAAUUCUUAUAGUUAGUCCAAAAGUGACCGUCCGAAAGUUUACAUCACGCUUCAUAAAUGUAUCUGUAAAUGAAAAUCUAUCUGCCAACUCAAGGUUUGCAUGGUGAAGACGAGAGGAAUCCCAAAACAAGUCAAAUUAAAAGGGUAGAGUAAUUCAAAAACAGUGCAUCUGAAAGAGCAAGCUGUUGUUUUCUGAUAAGGUUUGAAACUCAAACUCACCGUCUCUUUCCUGUAGUCCCAUGGGGUCUGGUACUCCAAUGCAUAUGUGGAGUAAAACUCUCUGAAAUUAAAACAGCAAAAUAAAAAUAAAAGGUCCAACUGA